AACGUUGUAGUUCGCAAACCUCCUACAUAAAAAAACUAGGUACAA
rnacentral:ncRNA from 2 species